UACAGAGGUCCCAAGCGUUGUUCGGAUUCACUGGGCGUAAAGGGUGCGUAGGCGGUCGGGUAAGUCUGAUGUGAAAUCUUCAAGCUUAACUUGGAAACUGCAUCGGAUACUAUUCGGCUAGAGGAAUGGAGGGGAGACUGGAAUACUUGGUGUAGCAGUGAAAUGCGUAGAUAUCAAGUGGAACACCAGUGGCGAAGGCGAGUCUCUGGACAUUUCCUGACGCUGAGGCACGAAAGCCAGGGGAGCAAGCGGG
rnacentral:rRNA from 1 species